GCCGGAUUGGCGGAAUAGGCAGACGCAGGGGACUUAAAAUCCCCCGGUAUUUAUACCGUGCCGGUUCGAACCCGGCAUCCGGCA
rnacentral:tRNA from 1 species